UACGUAGGGUGCAAGCGUUGUCCGGAAUUAUUGGGCGUAAAGAGCUCGUAGGCGGUUUGUCGCGUCUGCUGUGAAAUCUGGGGCUCAACCCCCAGCCUGCAGUGGGUACGGGCAGACUAGAGUGCGGUAGGGGAGAUUGGAAUUCCUGGUGUAGCGGUGAAAUGCGCAGAUAUCAGGAGGAACACCGGUGGCGAAGGCGGGUCUCUGGGCCGAUACUACGUGAGGAGCGAAAGCGUGGGGGAGCGAAACAGG
rnacentral:rRNA from 1 species